rnacentral:rRNA from 1 species
UACAGAGGGUGCGAGCGUUGUCCGGAAUCACUGGGCGUAAAGGGCGCGUAGGUGGCGCCGCAAGUCCAUGGUGAAAGCUCGAUGCUCAACAUCGAGUCGGCCACGGAGACUGCGGGGCUCGAGCACUGUAGGGGCAGAUGGAAUUCCGGGUGUAGCGGUGGAAUGCGUAGAGAUCCGGAAGAACACCAACGGCGAAGGCAGCUCGCUGGGACGGUACUGACGCUGAGACGCGAAAGCGUGGGAGCGAACGAGG